GUGCUACAUGCAGAGAAGAAGGAUAAAGUGUCAGAAAGGGAGAGAGAGUGAGAGGAGGUGCCAUGUUUCACGGAGUGUAAGGGAGGACUUCUCUGAAGCUAAACUUCAAAGUGAGAUCUGAAGACAGCAAGGAGACAUCUGGAUCCCAGGGUUCAAUCAAGAAAUUCAAGAAAAUGAAGUGAAUCCUGCAAAGGAGGCCAAGAACCAGCCCAUGAAGUUGAGAACCAAGAGAUGGUGGUCUUGGACAUCAAAAGAAGAGAGGCCACAGAGAAGAAGGAGUGAUCUGACCACUGCAUCGAAUGCUGCUGGGAGGUGGAGGAGGAUGAGCACUGAGAAGUGACUGCCAUGCAUCAGUUUGCAGCAUGAUAACCAUUGGUGGCUCUGACGGGAGUGGAGUGAUGGGGCAGAAACCUAACUGAAUGAGUUUAAGAAAUAAGGCAUAGCACCCAUCACACUGACUGAGUCAUCCGGAAAAUGUGAGAAAUCACUUAAUAAAGAGCUGCCCUGGGGAAAUGGACAGGUAAAUGGCUUUAAAUAAAAGAUUUUGUCUUACGCUUAAUUUAAUAAGAACUAUGCCCCAGUACCUUCACUAGUAAGAAAGAUAGACAGCAGAUAAGUGGAAGAGAUGAACAAGCUGUCAGCACCAGAGCAUGUAAUCUCUGUGAGCUGAAGUUUCCCUCUCCGGAUACAAAUGGGGCCAUGCCAGGGAAAGCAGCUCUCUGCUUUGCCCUGUAGAGAGGAGCAGGGACUGGGAACCAGGCCAGCCUGAUGUCGAUUCCAGAUCCAGCACUUACUAGCUGUGUGACUUUGGGGAAACUACUGAGUUUCUCUGAGUUACAUCCAGGAAACAGGGGUGACAAGGCCUAUUUAACAUGUCCAUUCUACAAAUAUAUGGGAGGUGCCAGACACCAUGUUAAAUGCUGGGGACACACAAGAAGGACCAGCUGUCAGAAACGCCACAGGCAGAGGUGAAAUGGCAAGAAGACUGGAGCAAUAGGGACUGAGCCAGUUCACAGAGGGGCUGGACAAGCUACACCAUCACAGGGGAAGAGGUGCAGCUGGCAUUUGAUGGCACGUGGUCAGGAAUCCUGGAAAAUCAGAUUCCUGUCCUGCAGAUUAUUUCUUCUCCCUUCCUCUCAGCCCCACAAAGUUCCCAUUGGAAGGAACAGGAGCCAAAUAGGAAUCGAAAUUGCACUCAAUUGCUGCACAAGUGCAGGUCUUCGGUUGGGUUGAAGCUUGAGGCUUAGACGCUAAGCUGAAUAAGAUAUCCUGCUUCCCCCCAGGCCCAAAUCCAGUUUGUGAGCUCACCAGCUUCUGGCUGGGAUUGCAUAGCAGAAAUCAGAGGUAGAGGGGAAUUAAUACAGCCAGGUUUGUACAGUAAAAUAUGGACUCAUUUACUAAGUCAACUUGCUCCUCAGCUGGAUGCAGAAAGACACAUGGACGCACAUGAUUCAUUAACGCACGGCAUGCCUGCCUACUUCUCUAUGGCACCAAAUCGGCAGUUCUCAAUGCUGAGCUUCCCAGUUAAUACUUCUUGAAAGAGAGUUGGGAAGAAGCAGCAGAGAGGACCUUAGUAGGAGUGGAGGUUAUAAUAAAUUCUCCUUUCUCCUAAAUGAAUCAGAUUAAGACUCUGAAAGCCUAGUGGGAAACACCAAAGGCUAUUCAGCCAGGUAAGUGGCAAGAUAAGAUUUGCAUCUUUAAGGAGUACAUCUGCCGGUUUUCUUCCCUCACGAUCAACCAGGAAGAAAUGUGAGAUAGAAAACUGUGAGGACACCCUAGCAUGACAGAAACUGUUUUGAUUUGUGGUGUGGGAAGUGACUGGCCUGGGGCUAGACGUGUUCUGGCUUCUAGCACUUCCUAGGAGGCUAAACUGAGCAGUGAACUGCUGGAGUUCUGCUCCUGCUUUUCUACCACCAUUUCUCUGGUCAGACAGGUGCUGUCCUCAUACCUCUGGUGCCUCAGAACUAAAAUCAGACAGAGCAGGAGCCCUGCGCUCAAAAGGAAGUGACAAAAAUAUGUAGGGACCAACUGGCCUC
rnacentral:lncRNA from 1 species